rnacentral:lncRNA from 1 species
GUAUUUGCACAGCGUCGCACAAGUACAAUACGUAUAACCAGGAUACAACACCACAAUGAAUAUAUAAACGUCCAACCAUUCAUACAUUCAUACACCAUUCACCACAGGUUCAUAUACAGAGUUUAAAUAUAAAACCACAACUAUUAGUUAAAAUGUUUCCUAUCCGGAAACUGAUUUUGAAAUACUAAGUUACGAAAAACUCAAGAAAACCUUUUUAAAAACUGUUUCCCACACGGAAACCUUUUUAUUUUUAAAACACACUACCACGAGGGGUAGAAAACUAUUUCUAGUUUACAAAACCAUAAUUCCUUUAUUACG